rnacentral:rRNA from 1 species
GACGAACGCUGGCGGCGUGCUUAACACAUGCAAGUCGAGCGGUAAGGCCCUUUUGGGGGUACACGAGCGGCGAACGGGUGAGUAACACGUGGGUGACCUGCCCUCAGCUCUGGGAUAAGCCUGGGAAACUGGGUCUAAUACUGGAUAUGACCUUUCCUCGCAUGGGGUUGGGUGGAAAGUUUUUCGGCUGGGGAUGGGCCCGCGGCCUAUCAGCUUGUUGGUGGGGUGAUGGCCUACCAAGGCGACGACGGGUAGCCGGCCUGAGAGGGCGACCGGCCACCACUGGGACUGAGACACGGCCCAGACUCCUACGGGAGGCAGCAGUGGGGAAGUAUUGCGCAAUGGGCGGAAGCCUGACGCAGCGACGCCGCGUGGGGAUGAC